GUAAUACCCGGCUAGAGUCCGGCAUCGGAAUUCCUAUAGUCCGGUGGAAUCUCGGAUGUCGGAACCCUCUAGAAGGGUAAUACAUAUGUUUUCUAAGGUAGUUUAACAUGUUUUAAUGUUUUAAAGUGUUAAAGGAAAAGAGUUUUGGAAUGAAAAGCAACAAGGGAGAAAUGCAAAGGUUCGGCCGCCGAAGGUCACUUUCGGCCG
rnacentral:lncRNA from 1 species